GCUUUGUUAGAGUGCUCUUUACGGUCACUAGAAUCAUUCCACUAUCUUUCGAAAUUAUCAUAUUGAAUCACAUCAACUUUCACAACAAUCAACACCGGUGUUGCUGAUAAGCUUUAAGGUUUGUGCAAAAUGUCUUAGUCUCAUUGAACGUUGAACAUUUCCGUUAACACAAUUUUCGUCUUCAAACCUGAACACGUAAUUUGUAAUUCGUACCGGCUAAGGACAGCCAGAGCACUUCACACGAAAAUGUUGUUUUCCGAAGGAUUUUUCACAUUCAUUUGGAUAUUUUCAACCUGGACAUGUACCGCACUUAGCCAAAUUUGUCAUCAAUCAGAUUAGUUUUAAUUUACAUCUAAAUCGAACCUGUAGUACGCAACGCAUAUACAAAUAAAUGAAUUAAAUACCACAUCGAUCGCCAAGUCAGGUCUAUAAUUAUUUGCACCUCGUGCGGCAAUUUGAUAACAAGUCGGUACUUACUGCUCGAUGCAAUACAUUCAAAAACGAUAUUUCAUGUUACAUUCUGGUGGAUCGAAAUUGUCGGUUGAUCGAAAAAUUAUAGCACAGUUUCCAAAGUACUAUCGGUUGUGCAGAACGUUUCAAAUAAAACCGAGAAAUCGUAACAGUGAAAUCAACUUGUAAACCGAUUAAAGUGAAAAGAAAUUUGUACAAAAAAAAACGUUGUGUGGUUUGAGUGGUAAAUAUGGUGCAAUUUUCCGAGCUCGACAAGGAAACCGUUCGAAUUCUAAAAAAUGCAUUCCUUGCCUUCGAAUACGAAAAAACUGGAACGGUUUUAACGGAAGACAUUGGUACAAUUGUCGAAAUGCUGGGACAUCGGCUAGACGAUAAAUCGUUGAAGCAAGCUAUCAAAGAAGCAGAUCCAGCUGGUGUAGGGAAAUUAGAGUUUGAACCAUUUGCUUGCUUUGCAUCGAAAUAUGUGGAAGUUGAAGAGGAUGCCGAAGCUGUGGCGAAAGAAUUGAGGGAGGCCUUCUUACUAUAUGAUAGAGAUGCUAAAGGCUACAUAACCGUUGAAGUAUUGAGACAAAUUCUGCACGAAAUUGAUGACAAAAUAACGCCCGGUGAUUUAGAUUUAAUGAUUGAAGAAAUCGAUGCUGACGGUUCAGGAACAGUUGACUUUGAAGAAUUCAUGGAAGUGAUGACAGGACCCCUAUGAGAGACGACGGAACAAAAUGACUCUUCGAUCCUCUUGUCCAUUACCAGUAUAUGAUUCAAACAUAAUUUUUGUUCUAAACGAAUUUGUUGAUCAACGUAAAUGACCGUGAACAACGAGACCAUUAUCACCAAGAUAUUCUUAUUUCAAUAAAAUUUUAUAUAAAAAAAAAUCAACAAAAAUGUUUAAAUGUAAAAUCGUGUUAAGAAUUGAAUUAAAUUAGAAAUUUUGUAAGUUUCAUUUAUCUACUA